AAAUUGAAGAGUUUGAUCAUGGCUCAGAUUGAACGCUGGCGGCAGGCCUAACACAUGCAAGUCGAACGGUAACAGGAAACAGCUUGCUGUUUCGCUGACGAGUGGCGGACGGGUGAGUAAUGUCUGGGAAACUGCCCGAUGGAGGGGGAUAACUACUGGAAACGGUAGCUAAUACCGCAUAACGUCGCAAGACCAAAGAGGGGGACCUUCGGGCCUCUUGCUAUCGGAUGUGCCCAGAUGGGAUUAGCUAGUAGGUGGGGUAACGGCUCACCUAGGCGACGAUCCCUAGCUGGUCUGAGAGGAUGACCAGCCACACUGGAACUGAGACACGGUCCAGACUCCUACGGGAGGCAGCAGUGGGGAAUAUUGCACAAUGGGCGCAAGCCUGAUGCAGCCAUGCCGCGUGUAUGAAGAAGGCCUUCGGGUUGUAAAGUACUUUCAGCGGGGAGGAAAGGAGUAAAGUUAAUACCUUUGCUCAUUGACGUUACCCGCAGAAGAAGCACCGGCUAACUCCGUGCCAGCAGCCGCGGUAAUACGGAGGGUGCAAGCGUUAAUCGGAAUUACUGGGCGUAAAGCGCACGCAGGCGGUUUGUUAAGUCAGAUGUGAAAUCCCCGGGCUCAACCUGGGAACUGCAUCUGAUACUGGCAAGCUUGAGUCUCGUAGAGGGGGGUAGAAUUCCAGGUGUAGCGGUGAAAUGCGUAGAGAUCUGGAGGAA
rnacentral:rRNA from 1 species